AGCAUAUCAAUAAGCGGAGGAAAAGAAACCAACUGGGAUUGCCUUAGUAACGGCGAGUGAAGCGGCAAUAGCUCAAAUUUGAAAGCUGGCCCCUUUGGGGUCCGCGUUGUAAUUUGUAGAGGAUGAUUCGGCGAGGGCUCCCGUCUAAGUCCCCUGGAACGGGGCGUCAUAGAGGGUGAGAAUCCCGUAUGUGAUGGGUUGCCUUAGCCAUGUGAAUCUCCUUCGACGAGUCGAGUUGUUUGGGAAUGCAGCUCUAAAUGGGAGGUAAAUUUCUUCUAAAGCUAAAUACCGGCCAGAGACCGAUAGCGCACAAGUAGAGUGAUCGAAAGAUGAAAAGCACUUUGGAAAGAGAGUUAAAAAGUACGUGAAAUUGUUGAAAGGGAAGCGCUUGCAGCCAGACUUGUCCGCAGUUGCUCAGCCGGUCUCCUGACCGGCGUACUCUUCUGCGGCCAGGCCAGCAUCAGUUCGGGCGGUCGGAUAAAGGCCCCAGGAAUGUAGCUCCUCUCGGGGAGUGUUAUAGCCUGGGGUGGAAUGCGACCAGCCUGGACUGAGGAUCUCGCUUCGGCUAGGAUGCUGGCGUAAUGGCUGUAAGCGGCCCGUCUUGAAACACGGACCAAGGAGUCUAACAUCUAUGCGAGUGUUUGGGUGUCAAACCCAUACGCGUAAUGAAAGUGAACGGAGGUGGGAACCCUCACGGGUGCACCAUCGACCGAUCCUGAUGUCUUCGGAUGGAUUUGAGUAAGAGCAUAGCUGUUGGGACCCGAAAGAUGGUGAACUAUGCCUGAAUAGGGUGAAGCCAGAGGAAACUCUGGUGGAGGCUCGCAGCGGUUCUGACGUGCAAAUCGAUCGUCAAAUUUGGGUAUAGGGGCGAAAGACUAAUCGAACCAUC
rnacentral:rRNA from 1 species